UUGUUGACCUGAGAACCUCCGUUAGAGCUUGGUGUGGAAGGGACAGAGGAGCUAAUAGCACCAGACGUGACAUUCUGUGUGUGUGAAGCUCAUAUGUGUGUGGCGUAGCAGCCAGCUCUUCUCUGAUUGGCUGGAUGCAGUGUGGCGGCCGGAUUCAUUUAAAUAAAGUUGAGAUCUGCUGAACUUUUUGCCGGAGGGUGGGGCUCCAUUCAACACAACGCAACCCAGCAUGCACCGCGGCAUGCAGCUGCUCUCUCUAUUGAAAUGAAUGGGAUGCGUCGGCACUUAAGUGCCAGUGGACGUGCACCGAUAUACAUAUAUUCUACAUAUAUACAUUAAUACAGUAGUCACCUAUUGUUUGUGUUAAAUACUUCUAUAUAAAAUAGUUAACAUGCUACGUCAUUUCACCCUUAGACCCCAAUACCUAAUAAUACCAACACAUAUCUGUUUCUAUUUACAAAGCUGUCAAAAACAUGUUAUGACAACUGAUGUUUCUUAUAAUAAGUUUUAUAAAUGACAGUUUUUUGAAAGAUCAAAGUUGAUUGACAUGGUGCCAGACAAAUGUUUCCCUAAUAAAGGGCCCUAGUAUCUAAUAGUGUCAACAGUUUAUACCAUAUUUUGACUGCUUACAUAAACUCCUAAUAAUUACUUAAGUACUGCUUCAUAAAUAUAUGUUUAAAUGCUUGUACAUGUACUAUGCAGCGACUGUCUGUGUGGUGACGCUGUGUUCACCUACGGGGUCUUCUUCUUUCACUUUUACUGUCACUUCCUGUUCUAUGUGUUUGCGUGGCUGUAUUGUAUUUUUUGGAGGCAUUGAGCCGACCAUGGCGAGCAGCAGCGUGUAACCUUGUAGCGGUUUAGCCCCUCUCUGCCUUCCCGUAAGAAGCGAUGCCAGUACAGGCCAUUCAACAACGACGGUAUUUGUUUUUUACUGUAAUGCUCAAAUAGAUUUUUAAUCUAUUCUUACAGUAAUUGUUAGAGCAUACAAAAUAAUUCUAACAUUAUAUGCACUUAUUUAUCACUUCUGUUUGUUUAGAUGCCGAUUCAAACAAUCCCACAAGGUAUAUUUUCCUAGUUUUCUUAUGUAAGAACAUUUAUUUACCAGUUUUAGUUUUUGUUUUACUACUUUGCACAUCUUCUCUCAGUUCUCAUUCAGACA
rnacentral:lncRNA from 1 species